GUCGAACGACUCUGGUAUUGAUUGGUGCUUGCAUCAUGAUUUACAUUUGAGUGAGUGGCGAACUGGUGAGUAACACGUGGGAAACCUGCCCAGAAGCGGGGGAUAACACCUGGAAACAGAUGCUAAUACCGCAUAACAACUUGGACCGCAUGGUCCGAGCUUGAAAGAUGGCUUCGGCUAUCACUUUUGGAUGGUCCCGCGGCGUAUUAGCUAGAUGGUGGGGUAACGGCUCACCAUGGCAAUGAUACGUAGCCGACCUGAGAGGGUAAUCGGCCACAUUGGGACUGAGACACGGCCCAAACUCCUACGGGAGGCAGCAGUAGGGAAUCUUCCACAAUGGACGAAAGUCUGAUGGAGCAACGCCGCGUGAGUGAAGAAGGGUUUCGGCUCGUAAAACUCUGUUGUUAAAGAAGAACAUAUCUGAGAGUAACUGUUCAGGUAUUGACGGUAUUUAACCAGAAAGCCACGGCUAACUACGUGCCAGCAGCCGCGGUAAUACGUAGGUGGCAAGCGUUGUCCGGAUUUAUUGGGCGUAAAGCGAGCGCAGGCGGUUUUUUAAGUCUGAUGUGAAAGCCUUCGGCUCAACCGAAGAAGUGCAUCGGAAACUGGGAAACUUGAGUGCAGAAGAGGACAGUGGAACUCCAUGUGUAGCGGUGAAAUGCGUAGAUAUAUGGAAGAACACCAGUGGCGAAGGCGGCUGUCUGGUCUGUAACUGACGCUGAGGCUCGAAAGUAUGGGUAGCAAACAGGAUUAGAUACCCUGGUAGUCCAUACCGUAAACGAUGAAUGCUAAGUGUUGGAGGGUUUCCGCCCUUCAGUGCUGCAGCUAACGCAUUAAGCAUUCCGCCUGGGGAGUACGGCCGCAAGGCUGAAACUCAAAGGAAUUGACGGGGGCCCGCACAAGCGGUGGAGCAUGUGGUUUAAUUCGAAGCUACGCGAAGAACCUUACCAGGUCUUGACAUACUAUGCAAAUCUAAGAGAUUAGACGUUCCCUUCGGGGACAUGGAUACAGGUGGUGCAUGGUUGUCGUCAGCUCGUGUCGUGAGAUGUUGGGUUAAGUCCCGCAACGAGCGCAACCCUUAUUAUCAGUUGCCAGCAUUAAGUUGGGCACUCUGGUGAGACUGCCGGUGACAAACCGGAGGAAGGUGGGGAUGACGUCAAAUCAUCAUGCCCCUUAUGACCUGGGCUACACACGUGCUACAAUGGAUGGUACAACGAGUUGCGAACUCGCGAGAGUAAGCUAAUCUCUUAAAGCCAUUCUCAGUUCGGAUUGUAGGCUGCAACUCGCCUACAUGAAGUCGGAAUCGCUAGUAAUCGCGGAUCAGCAUGCCGCGGUGAAUACGUUCCCGGGCCUUGUACACACCGCCCGUCACACCAUGAGAGUUUGUAACACCCAAAGUC
rnacentral:rRNA from 2 species